GUGGAUGAUGUUAAAAAUCCUAUUCCAUUUCUGAAACUAAAAUGUGGAAUAAACUAUACUGACAC